AUUGAACGCUGGCGGCAGGCUUAACACAUGCAAGUCGAGCGGAGCGAGGGUGCUUGCACCUUAGCUUAGCGGCGGACGGGUGAGUAAUGCUUAGGAAUCUGCCUAUUAGUGGGGGACAACAUUCCGAAAGGGAUGCUAAUACCGCAUACGCCCUACGGGGGAAAGCAGGGGAUCUUCGGACCUUGCGCUAAUAGAUGAGCCUAAGUCGGAUUAGCUAGUUGGUGGGGUAAAGGCCUACCAAGGCGACGAUCUGUAGCGGGUCUGAGAGGAUGAUCCGCCACACUGGGACUGAGACACGGCCCAGACUCCUACGGGAGGCAGCAGUGGGGAAUAUUGGACAAUGGGGGGAACCCUGAUCCAGCCAUGCCGCGUGUGUGGAGAAGGCCUUUUGGUUGUAAAGCACUUUAAGCGAGGAGGAGGCGCUCUAGGAUAAUACCCUAGAUGCGUGGACGUUACUCGCAGAAUAAGCACCGGCUAACUCUGUGCCAGCCGCCGCCGUAAUAC
rnacentral:rRNA from 1 species